UACAGGGGGUGCAAACGUUGCUCGGAAUCAUUGGGCGUAAAGCGCACGUAGGCGGUUCGUUAUGUCGGAUGUGAAAGCCCUUGGCUUAACCGAGGAAGUGCAUCCGAAACUGGCGAGCUAGAGUACGAAAGAGGAUCGCGGAAUUCCCGGUGUAGAGGUGAAAUUCGUAGAUAUCGGGAGGAACACCGGUGGCGAAGGCGGGUCUCUGGGCAGUAACUGACGCUGAGGAGCGAAAGCGUGGGUAGCAAACAGG
rnacentral:rRNA from 1 species